rnacentral:rRNA from 1 species
AUUGAACGCUGGCGGCAGGCCUAACACAUGCAAGUCGAACGAGUGGCGGACGGGUGAGUAAUGUCUGGGAAACUGCCUGAUGGAGGGGGAUAACUACUGGAAACGGUAGCUAAUACCGCAUACCAUCGGAUGUUCCCAGAUGGGAUUAGCCAGUAGGUGGGGUAACGGCUCACCUAGGCGACGAUCCCUAGAUGGUCUGAGAGGAUGAACAGCCAACCGGGAAAUGAGACACGGUCCAGACACCUAAGGGAGGCAGCAGUGGGGAAUAUUGCACAAAGGGCGCAAGCCUGAUGCAGCCAUGCCGAGUGUAUGAAGAAGGCCUUCGGGUUGUAAAGUACUUUAAGCGGGGAGGCGUUACCCGCAGAAGAAGCACCGACUAACUCCGUGCCAGCAGCCGCGGUAAUUC